GUGAUGUUGUGUCCUGUACAGGCAGGUGAGCAUCAUGGCGGGACUGUACUUGCUGACUCUCCUGGCGACGGUGGUGGCCGCUGGCACUCAUGUUUUGGCUGCCUGCGUCCUCGCUCCGGCCUGCGACCAGUUGACGCAGCCUCCUGACGCAAGGUGCUGCCUUGUCAACUUCCCAGGGAGCACCAACUGGGUGUACAACCCUGAGAGAGGCUUCUACCACCACACUGAGACUCUCUCCUCCGCCUGGGCACCUCUCACCAGCACUCAGCUCCGCCAGUAUGUCUCCGCUAACUACUCUCUCAUCUUUAGGUACGUGGUCCUUGUUGUGUCUCUAACACUC